AUACUUAACCUGGCAGGGGAGAUACGAAGAUCAUGAAGGUGGUUUUCCCAGAGCAAGGCUUAUCCAUUGCAUUCCGGAUGUGCUGACCCCUGUGAUUUCCCCAAAUGUGAGAAAGUCAACUGCAUAAUUUGUGGUAGUGGGGGACUGUGUUCACUCUCUCCCCUA